AACGAGACCUUAACCUGCUAAAUAGCCAGGCUAGCUUUGGCUGGUCGCCGGCUUCUUAGAGGGACUAUCGGCUCAAGCCGAUGGAAGUUUGAGGCAAUAACAGGUUAACCUUUAUCACACGCCUGUAAAAGCG
rnacentral:rRNA from 1 species